GUCAAAGGCAUCAUGGUAAAAGGAGACCGAGCAAAAAUGAAGGUUUUAAACCUGUGUCUGUGCGUAAGAGUUGAAACAAAGUAAAGGGCCCAAAACUUCAAGCAAUUCAUCUAACUAUCUGCAUUUACCUGAAAAGAGAGGCAAAGGCACAGAUCUUUAUGCCUUCACCCAUCUAAUGAACCCAGCUUAUCUGAUGCUUUGAGUAUCAGAUGGAAAACAGUGGGAAAACUGAUGUCAUGCUAAGACAGGGAAGAUGCUGGAAACAGACAACACUCCAAGAGAUUGUGUUUCAUGAAUGUUCACCAGUAAUGACAUAUGGAUGGAAAAUUUUAUUGAACCAGGUGUGGCUAAAUAAAGAAAUGUAUGCACAAGAUUGUCAGAAACUUAAUGACAACGGCCCAGCCUUGAGGUAUGAAUAGACUACUUUAUCCCAAAACAGAUACUAAUUUUUGAUAAUUUGCACUGAGGGUAAGAUUAAACAGAUUUUAUUAAUGAGCAGUAAAAGAUAUCAUCCAGAAAAGACCCACAUGUUACUUUUAGACAAUUCUCUUCUCAACGCACACCCCCAAAUUUUAGUGGAUGUUACUAUGAAUAAUUUGCAGUGUAAUUACUGUAUUAAAGAGUAAAUUCUAAAUUAAUAACAGCAGAUGUCAUUUCAACUUGGUCUGAUGUAAUCAGUUAAAGUGUUUUGAAGUUUAUAAUAUUUAUGAGAAUUAAGGAUUCUAAACAAUAGUGAGAUCUUCAUUUUUUCCCUUUUCUUAGGUCUGUCUGUUCUUCAUAACAGUAAUAGUUAUUUUAGUUUGCCAUCCAAAUGUGAAAGUCAGUACACACACACACACACACACACACACACACACACACACACACACACACAAACACACACACAGAGCUUUGCGGAUCAAAUCCAGAGCUUUGUGCUUGUGCUUGCUAGGGAAGUACUCUACAUCUAUCUAUCUAACUGUCUGUCUUUCUGUCCAUUCAUCUGCCCAUUUUUCUAUCUGUCUUUCUGCUAUCCAUCUGUUCAUCUUUCUAUCAUCUAUCUGUCUGUCUGUCUACGUAUCUAUCUAUAAUCUAUCAACUAUGUCUAUAUCAAUAUGUAUAUAUAUGUUUUGAUUUCUAAUAAAGACUGUCACAUAAUUGUCA
rnacentral:lncRNA from 1 species